UCCGUCGCAGCAGUGCGGCUCUCCGUCAGCGCUGUGAUGAGCUGCAGCGGUUGCAGUGUCAGCGCCGGGCUGAGCACGACGCGCUGCGGGGCCGGGCAGCGCAGGCCAGAGCGUUGGUGGAGGCGCUGCGCAGGGACAGGGACCAGGCCAGGAGGGAGUGCAAGACCCCCUCAGCAGCCCCAGAGGUGACCCCGGAAGUGCCCCUUAAGUUGACCCCGGAAGUGAUCCCGGAGCCGCCAUCUUUAAGGGACUCCCCUCCCACCCCGCCCGGAGCUGACACCGGAAGUGAUGGCGACCCCCCCCACGACCCCCCCGCGACCCCACAGGAACAAAGGAGCAACGCGGAGCUGCAGCGCCGCCUGGCGGCCACUGAGGCAGAGCUGUUUGCAGCCCGUCAGGCUGCGGCUGCGGCGGAGCUGCGAGCGCAGGAAGCUGCGCGGGAGGCGGAACUGCAGCUACAGGCACUGAGACGGCAGCUGGAGGUAAUGGGGG
rnacentral:lncRNA from 1 species